rnacentral:rRNA from 1 species
AUAGGUCAGAGGUGGAAGCAUGGCGACAUGUGGAGCUGACUGAUACUAAUCGUUCGAGGACUUAACCAAU